UUGAACGCUGGCGGCAGGCCUAACACAUGCAAGUCGAACGGUAACAGGAAGCAGCUUGCUGCUUCGCUGACGAGUGGCGGACGGGUGAGUAAUGUCUGGGAAACUGCCUGAUGGAGGGGGAUAACUACUGGAAACGGUAGCUAAUACCGCAUAACGUCGCAAGACCAAAGAGGGGGACCUUAGGGCCUCUUGCCAUCGGAUGUGCCCAGAUGGGAUUAGCUAGUAGGUGGGGUAACGGCUCACCUAAGCGACGAUCCCUAGCUGGUCUGAGAGGAUGACCAGCCACACUGGAACUGAGACACGGUCCAGACUCCUACGGGAGGCAGCAGUGGGGAAUAUUGCACAAUGGGCGCAAGCCUGAUGCAGCCAUGCCGCGUGUAUGAAGAAGGCCUUCGGGUUGUAAAGUACUUUCAGCGGGGAGGAAGGGAGUAAAGUUAAUACCUUUGCUCAUUGACGUUACCCGCAGAAGAAGCACCGGCUAACUCCGUG
rnacentral:rRNA from 1 species